UGGCUCAGAGCGAACGCUGGCGGCAGGCCUAACACAUGCAAGUCGAACGCCCCGCAAGGGGAGUGGCAGACGGGAGAGUAACACGUGGGAACGUGCCCUUCAGUACGGAACAACCAAGGGAAACUUUGGCUAAUACCGUAUACGCCCGCAAGGGGAAAGAUUUAUCGCUGAAGGAUCGGCCCGCGUCUGAUUAGCUAGUUGGUGGGGUAAUGGCUCACCAAGGCGACGAUCAGUAGCUGGUCUGAGAGGAUGAUCAGCCUCACUGGGACUGAGACACGGCCCAGACUCCUACGGGAGGCAGCAGUGGGGAAUAUUGGACAAUGGGCGCAAGCCUGAUCCAGCCAUGCCGCGUGAGUGAUGAAGGCCUUAGGGUUGUAAAGCUCUUUUCGUCAGGGAAGAUAAUGACGGUACCUGAAGAAGAAGCCCCGGCUAACUUCGUGCCAGCAGCCGCCGUAAC
rnacentral:rRNA from 1 species